rnacentral:rRNA from 1 species
UACGUAGGGUGCAAGCGUUAAUCGGAAUUACUGGGCGUAAAGCGUGCGUAGGCGGUUCGGAAAGAAAGGUGUGAAAUCCCAGAGCUUAACUUUGGAACUGCACUUUUAACUACCGGGCUAGAGUAUGUCAGAGGGGGGUAGAAUUCCACGUGUAGCAGUGAAAUGCGUAGAGAUGUGGAGGAAUACCGAUGGCGAAGGCAGCCCCCUGGGAUAAUACUGACGCUCAGGCACGAAAGCGUGGGGAGCAAACAGG